GAAAAACUGGAAAGGAUGGGCUGACAGGAGAGUCAGGCCCUAAGGGAAUCCCUGGAGACCGAGGAUAUCAAGGACUUACUGGAAUUGCAGGGGAAAAGGGUCUAAAGGGUGACAGCGGUGCCCCUGGUGUCCCUGGAGAGUUCACUGUAAUAGAUAAUGGGAUCAAAGGUCAGAAAGGUUUUCCUGGGCCUCCAGGACCUCCUGGUCUACGAGGUAGUGAAGGUUUCAUUGGAAUUCCUGGAUAU
rnacentral:lncRNA from 1 species